GUUCACUUUGACCAUGGUGGAUAUUAUCUUCCCCUAAUUAAGUAUGCUUCUGCUUUUAUUUCCAUAGCCUGUUUGACCGAGAAUAAAACUAUCCCUGCUCUGCUUGGCCUAGUGUUGAACUUGCUCUUCUUGAUGGCAAAUCACUUAACGGUACUAUUCCAUAUCAAUAAUUGGUCGGAAGUUUAGGUUUUUCUAACGGACACCCAUCCUGACAUUAUAUAUGUC
rnacentral:lncRNA from 1 species